GGUUGAGGGCAAAGAGAAGAGUGAUCGGAGGAGGCGAUGAAAGCUUCCAUCACCGACGCAUUGUCUUCGUUAGACCAGAGGCGAUGAAAGCUUCCGAGACAUAAAUAAACUUCUCCGAUUAGAUAAAACUGAGAGAGUGAGAGAUUGGAGUGGGUGAGAGUGGGAGUGAGAGUGAGAGUGAGAGUGUGAGACCAAAUACAAGAAAAGUGUCAACGGUCGGAAACGGGUACCACUUCAUCUCCACUACACGUAGAUGGCCACGCUGAGAAGUGAAGAAGCUUGCACAAUCUUCUUUGGUUAAGAUCUUGUAGAGUUUGUUAACAUUUGUUUUUAUGUGUUCAUGCUCAUACGUAACGUUGGCAUAGAGGUCUCUCCUCCUUUGUAUACAAUGGUUUCUCUGACAGGAUUUGGAUAUUAUAAGUUGAUUAUUCUAGUAGAUUAAUUAAAUGUUUGACAUUUUGAUGGUAUGAUUACUAUUGAAAUAAUCAUUGAUAUUAGUAAAGAUUAUUCAGUUUUUCAUA